GUUUUAGAGUUAUCAAAACACACGCGUACUAUCUACUCGAAAAGCUAUAUGUUACUACACAUGAAAUCCAAAAGGUAAAACUGAACAAAGUCAACCUUAGAGAUGAGUAUGUUCACAAGCAAACAAAAAAGUAGCAAAGAAUAUUUACUGGACACUCCUUUAAUACAUACGUCUUAGCUCUUGAUACAUAGGCUAGAAUGAAUUUGCACUUUCUGCCCUCGCUGGCCCGCAGUAGCUGUCUAACACUAUCAAAAAGCAUAGGUAUGCUUGACUGCUGAAAGCGUAUGAGUUGAAUUGUCAAGGUUUCUAAAGUCAAAUUUUAGGGAAUUGAAAUACUUUUACAAAAAACCUUGAUAAAAUGAACAUAUUUCAAUUUCAAUUCAAGCAUCACAAUAUUCUGCAAUGUUUGUUAUUUUAUCUUCUAAUUCGUUUCAGUGAAUACCUGAAAUCGGAUUUUGCUCUUUUAAAGUGAGGGGAACACACUUGAGAAGAUAAAGUGCUUAAUAACCAUUGAUAAUAAAAUCAGUGAUUAUAACUAAUUUUAGAUUUUGUGAAAUAUAUAAUUGAUUUUAUCAUAAAAUUAAUUAUAUAUGAUCAUAAAACUAAACAUAUAUUUGAUUUUAUCAUAAAAGUCACCUAUGUAGAAACAAGAACUUAGCUGAUUUUAAAAAGAAACUACAGAGAUGCAUAGUUCUUAAGUAUGAUAACAGUGAUAAAAAUACAUAAAGGAUAUAUAUAUCAGCUCCAAGUAUGAAAUCAAAACCUCCAGGAUGUUUUCGUAAUAUUUCAUUUAUCUGACCAGUGUUCCCCCAUUCUAGUUUCUCUGCCACUAGUUCUGCAUGUACAUUGAUGUAAUUCCGUGAAUUAAACAUGUACCUUCCAUUCUUUCUUUAGAAGGAUUUUUACUCACCGUGAGAAAUAGAGCUAACAUUCUCGGGACAUGAAUGCAGUUCUAUGUUUUUCUUCAAGAUCUGAUAGGAGAUAGAAUAUUAAACUAUAUAACAGAUAACAAGGGAUGUGUACCAUGCGUCAUACCAACAGAUUCUCACAAGCCUACCUUAAGCACUUCUUCAUUAUGAUCAGUCAUCACAACUUUAUGGCAGAAUCUGCUGCAAAGUAUUCCAGUAAUACCAACACCAGAACCUAACUCAAUAACCGUGCAACCCUGAAGCAUCUUAACAUUUUUUGAAAGAUAAUCAUUCAACAACAUGGCUCCAGGCCAAACCAACUGCCCUGUCAAAUCAAAAUCAG
rnacentral:sRNA from 1 species